GAAGACGUAGCCAAGUGGACCAAGGUAGUGGAUUGUGAAUCCACCACACGCGGGUUCAAUUCCCGUCGUUCG
rfam:Picea glauca, whole genome shotgun sequence.